rnacentral:rRNA from 1 species
AGGGAAUCUUCCGCAAUGGACGAAAGUCUGACGGAGCAACGCCGCGUGAGUGAUGAAGGUUUUCGGAUCGUAAAGCUCUGUUGCCAGGGAAGAACAUCUUCUGGAGUAACUGCCAGGAGAGUGACGGUACCUGAGAAGAAAGCCCCGGCUAACUACGUGCCAGCAGCCGCGGUAAUACGUAGGGGGCAAGCGUUGUCCGGAAUUAUUGGGCGUAAAGCGCGCGCAGGCGGCUGUUUAAGUCUGGUGUUUAAUCCGGGGGCUCAACCCCGGGUCGCACUGGAAACUGGACGGCUUGAGUGCAGAAGAGGAGAGUGGAAUUCCACGUGUAGCGGUGAAAUGCGUAGAGAUGUGGAGGAACACCAGUGGCGAAGGCGGCUCUCUGGUCUGUAACUGACGCUGAGGCGCGAAAGCGUGGGGAGCAAAC